rnacentral:rRNA from 1 species
ACAUCGCUCUUUGAAUAUUUUAAUAUAAAGAGUCGAGCCUGCCCAGUGAUGGAAUUUUAACGGCCGCGGUACCCUGACCGUGCAAAGGUAGCAUAAUCAUUUGCCCUAUAAUUGAGGGCUAGUAUGAAUGGUUUGACAAGAGCAAUACUGUCUCCUUUAGAUUUUAUAGAAUUUGGUUUUCAGGUGAAGAGACCUGAAUAUAAUUGAAAGACAAGAAGACCCUAUCGAGCUUUAAGUUAUUUUAUUAAUUAAAUGAAUUAAAUAUCAGUUUUAAUAAAAAAUUUUGGUUGGGGCGACUGAGGAACAAAUAAAGCUUCCUUUUUUAAAAUAACUUAUUAGUUUUGAUCCAAAAUAUUUGAUUAAAAGAAUUAGUUACCGUAGGGAUAACAGCAUAAUCUUUUUUGAGAGCUCUUAUCGAAAAAAAGGUUUGUGACCUCGAUGUUGGACUAGGAUAUCCUAAUAGAUGCAGACGUCUUUGAUGGUUGGUCUGUUCGACCAUUAAAAUCCUAC